rnacentral:rRNA from 1 species
GAGUAAUGUCUGGGAAACUGCCUGAUGGAGGGGGAUAACUACUGGAAACGGUGGCUAAUACCGCAUAACGUCGCAAGACCAAAGAGGGGGACCUUCGGGCCUCUUGCCAUCAGAUGUGCCCAGAUGGGAUUAGCUUGUUGGUGAGGUAACGGCUCACCAAGGCGACGAUCCCUAGCUGGUCUGAGAGGAUGACCAGCCACACUGGAACUGAGACACGGUCCAGACUCCUACGGGAGGCAGCAGUGGGGAAUAUUGCACAAUGGGCGCAAGCCUGAUGCAGCCAUGCCGCGUGUAUGAAGAAGGCCUUCGGGUUGUAAAGUACUUUCAGCGGGGAGGAAGGUGUUGUGGUUAAUAACCGCAGCAAUUGACGUUACCCGCAGAAGAAGCACCGGCUAACUCCGUGCCAGCAGCCGCGGUAAUACGGAGGGUGCAAGCGUUAAUCGGAAUUACUGGGCGUAAAGCGCACGCAGGCGGUCUGUCAAGUCGGAUGUGAAAUCCCCGGGCUCAACCUGGGAACUGCAUUCGAAACUGGCAGGCUUGAGUCUUGUAGAGGGGGGUAGAAUUCCAGGUGUAGCGGUGAAAUGCGUAGAGAUCUGGAGGAAUACCGG